rnacentral:lncRNA from 1 species
GAGGAUACACAGGUCAACAUGCAGUAGUCUGUAGAGUAUACACAGGUCAACAUGCAGUAGUCUGUAGAGGAUACACAGGUCAACAUGUAGUAGUCUGUAGAGGAUACACAGGUCAACAUGCAGUAGUCUGUAGAGGAUACACAGGUCAACAUGUAGUAGUCUGUCUGGAGGAUACACAGGUCAACAUGCAGUAGUCUGUAGAGGAUACACAGGUCAACAUGCAGUAGUCUGUAGAGGAUACACAGGUCAACAUGCAGUAGUCUGUAGAGGAUACACAGGUCAACAUGCAGUAGUCUGUAGAGGAUACACAGGUCAACAUGCAGUAGUCUGUCUAGAGGAUACACAGGUCAACAUGCAGUAGUCUGUCUGGAGGAUACACAGGUCACCCUUGGGUCAUGGCUUAAUACUGGAUCCUGGCCCAUCCAUCCUGACUGAUUUCACUUGGCUUAUGGCUUAAUACUGGAUCCUGGCCCGUCUGUCCUGGCUGAUUUCCCUUGGGUCAUGGCUUAAUACUGGAUCGUGGUCCGUCUGUCCUGGCAGAUUUCCCUUGGGUCAUAGCUUAAUACUGGAUCCUGGCCCAUCCAUCCUGACUGAUUUCACUUGGCUUAUGGCUCAAUACUGGACCCUGGCCCGUUGGUCCUGGCUGAUUUCCCUUGGCUUAUGGCUUAAUACUGGAUCGUGGUCCGUCUGUCCUGGCUGAUUUCCCUUGGGUCAUAGCUUAAUACUGGAUCCUGGCCCAUCCAUCCUGACUGAUUUCACUUGGCUUAUGGCUCAAUACUGGACCCUGGCCCGUCGGUCCUGGCUGAUUUCCCUUGGCUUAUGGCUUAAUACCGGAUCCUGGCCCAUCGGUUCUGGCUGAUUUCCCUCAGGUCAUGGUUUAAUACUGGAUCCUGGCCCAUCAGUCCUGGCUGAUUUCCCUCAGGUCAUGGUUUAAUACCGGAUCCUGGCCCAUCGGUUCUGGCUGAUUUCCCUCAG